AGUGAACGCUGGCGGUAGGCCUAACACAUGCAAGUCGAACGGCAGCACAGUAAGAGCUUGCUCUUACGGGUGGCGAGUGGCGGACGGGUGAGGAAUACAUCGGAAUCUACUUUUUCGUGGGGGAUAACGUAGGGAAACUUACGCUAAUACCGCAUACGACCUACGGGUGAAAGCAGGGGAUCUUCGGACCUUGCGCGAUUGAAUGAGCCGAUGUCGGAUUAGCUAGUUGGCGGGGUAAAGGCCCACCAAGGCGACGAUCCGUAGCUGGUCUGAGAGGAUGAUCAGCCACACUGGAACUGAGACACGGUCCAGACUCCUACGGGAGGCAGCAGUGGGGAAUAUUGGACAAUGGGCGCAAGCCUGAUCCAGCCAUACCGCGUGGGUGAAGAAGGCCUUCGGGUUGUAAAGCCCUUUUGUUGGGAAAGAAAAGCAGCAGGUUAAUACCCCGCUGUUCUGACGGUACCCAAAUAAUAAGCUCCGGCUAACUUCGUG
rnacentral:rRNA from 1 species